CAAUUGCUCAUGGAGUAGAAUAGAGGCGUGGUUUGAAUUUCGCGGACGAAAUUCUUUUAAGGGGUGGAAAAUGUAACAUAUCAGAUUUUUGUAUAAAAAUAAAAAUAAAUAAAAAUAGUGUGAGAUACUAUUUUUAUUGGAUUUAGAGAAGUAAAACAUAAGUCAGAAGUGACUUGUGCUGAAAUCGGGAUGAAAACAGAAGAUCUAGAAUUUUCUGUUGGAAACGGGACAGAUAAAUUAGCAGAAAAUGCACAGUCUCAGGAAAUUAUGAAAAUUGAAGGAUAAGUCAGAAAUAUUUUUAUGAGGCUAGAUUUAAGGUUUCAUAUUUUCUGACACCCGUAGAGUAAGAAAUAAAAUCCGACACGUAUCUGAUAAAGGUUACAGUUCGGUACAGUUUUCGGUGACCAAAUGGGGUCGAAAUUGGAAACUUGAAAUAUAUUCUUGCUGAGUACGUAAAAUCGAACAUGAUUGUCAAGUUUGAGCCCAAACGGACAUUCAGGGAGCUCCGGCGAAAGUUAUCAGAUUUCAAGCUGCUUGGAGUGAAUAGUGUUUGGGGGGUAUUAUAAAGAAGCUGAUG
rnacentral:lncRNA from 1 species